AUUGAACGCUGGCGGCAUGCCUAACACAUGCAAGUCGAACGAGUGGCGGACGGGUGAGUAAUGUCUGGGAAACUGCCCGAUGGAGGGGGAUAACUACUGGAAACGGUAGCUAAUACCGCAUACCAUCGGAUGUGCCCAGAUGGGAUUAGCUAGUAGGUGGGGUAAUGGCUCACCUAGACCACGAUCCCUAGCUGGUCUGAGAGGGUGACCAGCCAAACGGGAACUGAGAAACGGUCCAAACUCCUACGGGAGGCAGCAGUGGGGAAUAUUGCACAAUGGGCGCAAGCCUGAUGCAGCCAGGCCGCGUGGAUGAAGACGGCCUUCGGGUGGUAAAGUACUUUCCGCGAGGAGGCGUUACUCGCAGAAGAAGCACCGGCUAACUCCGUGCCAGCAGCCGCGGUAAUUC
rnacentral:rRNA from 1 species